rnacentral:rRNA from 1 species
GUACACUCCUGCGGGAGGCAGCAGUGGGGAAUUUUGGACAAUGGGCGAAAGCCUGAUCCAGCCAUGCCGCGUGCAGGAUGAAGGCCUUCGGGUUGUAAACUGCUUUUGUACGGAACGAAACGGCCUUUUCUAAUAAAGAGGGCUAAUGACGGUACCGUAAGAAUAAGCACCGGCUAACUACGUGCCAGCAGCCGCGGUAAUACGUAGGGUGCAAGCGUUAAUCGGAAUUACUGGGCGUAAAGCGUGCGCAGGCGGUUAUGUAAGACAGUUGUGAAAUCCCCGGGCUCAACCUGGGAACUGCAUCUGUGACUGCAUAGCUAGAGUACGGUAGAGGGGGAUGGAAUUCCGCGUGUAGCAGUGAAAUGCGUAGAUAUGCGGAGGAACACCGAUGGCGAAGGCAAUCCCCUGGACCUGUACUGACGCUCAUGCACGAAAGCGUGGGGAGCAAACAGGAUUAGAUACCCUGUAGUCC